rnacentral:misc_RNA from 1 species
ACUCUAGUUCAUUUUGUGAGAGAGCUCCACCCAGCUCCACUCCCAGUUUUGGUGGAGCUAAAACUGUUUGGCUGAGCUCUAGCUCCAGGAGGGAUGGAGCUGGAGCUGGAGUUGUGCCAAACAGGCCAAGCAGUUUCAGCUCCACCAAAACUGGGAAUAGAGCUGGGUGGAGCCCUCUCACAAAAUGAACUUAAACAAGU